ensembl:lncRNA
UCAAUAGAUUCUGAUUUUCCUUUUCCCAGAAACUAACCCAAAUUCCAGGAGAUCAGAGAUGUAUAGAGAACUCCUUGAAGUGAUCAUCAGUUGCGUCUGUCUGCCCAGCAUCCCUUUCCCCUUCCUCUGGUAAUGGAGUUCCUCCUCCCCUUUCUUCUUUGUGGUACCAAUUCUAUGUGACUUGGACAGGGAUAAACACUACCAUAAGAAACCAUUUCUUGGUAGAAAUAUUUUACCACUCAUGGAUGAUGAGCUAAAGAAUGGCUAUUAACUAUCAACUUCUCCAAGGCCUGGGAAUGUCAAAAUUGAUGGGAUCCCUAUUAUGAUCCUGUCUUUUCUGCUGGAGCAAUCAUAAAAGAUUACUCACGUAGAAUGACUAUUUGAGAGAUGGAGAGUACAAGAGCCAUGAAUCUCUGGACUGAGCCAUGCCUGAAGGAAAAUAUUCCCUUUAGAUUUUUCAGUUACAUGAACCAAUGAAGUUCCUUGUUUUGCUUAAUCUAGUUUGAGCUUUCUGUUUUUCUGUCACUUGUAAUCAAAUGAACCCUGACUAUCAUAUAGACUUUUCCCUGAAAAGGACAUAGUGGAGGGAGGAGAAAGUGAUAUUCUUCUAAGUACCUAUUGCAAUGUCCUGAGCAUAAAACUAGACAAUAUCAUUUCCUUAAUUAACAUAUGUUCUUUAUUUACGAGGAGAGAGGAGACAAAAUUAGGUUAGUGAUUUGUCUAAUGUCUCACUUUAAGUUAUAGACUCAGGCCCAAAUCUAAAUGUGACUCCAUAUCCGUUAGGCCAUGUUACCUCCCCAUGUUGCAAUUAUAUUGCAUAUAUAUGCAAAUGAAACUAGAAGAAUUUAAGCAAUAGUGAGAGCUAUUGCUAUAAAAAGAAAACAAAAUAGACUGAGGUAGAGAGAAAGCAGAAGCAGAAAGCAACUUCCAAAGCAGUCUUGAGCUGUCCAGAGUUCUGACCUCUGCUCAGACAUUUCUGUCCAUCAGUCCUCAGGUAAGCUCCGAUGCUGCCUGCAUGAUACAGCCUUGUUCACCCUCACUCAUCUGACACUGACUUCUCCACCUCUCCCAAUGAAAGUUGUGGAUUCUGUGAGGCUUGCUUAUACAAAAUGGCUUGGAUUCAGUUAGAGCUUAAGUCAAUUUUCAGUACUUCUGCUGAUGAGUCAUGUAACUUUGAAUAAGUCGCAUAACCUAAGACUCAAUUUUCUUGUCUAUAAAAGGGGAAUAAACUAGGAGUUGCAGUAACUGGAACAAAGAAGGAACUCAAAAAAAUGUUAGUUCCCUUCUCACCUCCCUCACUUGUAGAACAGAACUUGAAAAAGAAAUAAGGUUUAUUGGCAGAGUUCUUUUUUGAAAUGGUAUUUGUUGUGACAAAAUUUCACCUAUGGAUAUUUCAAUCCCCAUAUUAGAAGUUUCCAUUUUCACUUACAAAAGGUUUGUCUUCAUGAGGUGAAGGUUUGAGCAGCCUCCUGCACAGAUUGAGCUCUGGACUUCUGCAGAUUUAUAGAAGGAAAUAUUCCAUCCCCACUGAAUCAAAUGAUUUUGGAUAGCAGUUGGCAAAUCUCCCUUCCUAUCUUGUCUCCCACUUGGUAAUGCUUUCAUUAACAAAAAUAGAAGCAAAGCAAAUUGGAUUAUUCCUGAUAAUAUUUUUUUCUUCCAGCAAGGAUGGCAGCACUUGGCAGCUAGGAUAAGUGGGCAAAUAUCCCCUCUGAUUUAAACCACAAAUAUAAUCAGGUAGAGAAUGUAGAUGAUAACUUUAGCUUUCAAAAUAUGUAUUCAAAUCAGGCAUUAGCUUGAAAAUAUGAUUUACACUUUUCAAGUCUUAUUUGAAGUAGCUAAAUGCAGGUCCCAGUUUCUACAUACCUAAGAAGAAAAGCAGAUCCUGAGAAGGCACAAAACACAUGGAAUAAAUAUAUACUUGCUCUCCAACUUACUCAUUUACUUUUUCUUUUAAAUCUCUAAUUUUCCCCACACGCACUAAUUUUUUUUCAGCAAUUUAUGCUCUUCAAGGAAUUAUCCAUUGGUUCUAAACAUAGCUGCUAUUUUUUAGCUCUUCAGCAAUGUUCCUUUCCCCUAAGAUUUUACUACAGAAUAGAACUGGCAAAACAGAAGCCAUCAAAGUUACCUUGUUAACCUCACUGAGGGCUUUUCAGGAUCAUUGUGCGUUUUACUUAAUGUGUGUAUGUGUGUACUUAGGCCAUGAAAAAAACCCCACAUUCUCUUUUGAUCAUACCUUCAAAUGAUAUUCACACACUACGGUAUAAAAUAAUUUCUUUCUGUGUUUUAAUUCACUUGAUCUGGAAUUUUUUUAAGGUAUAAGAAAGGACAAUGUCGAGUGAUUGGAAGCAUGUGGGUCUUGGGGUUGAGAAGUGUUAGGUUUGAAGCCCAGCUCUAUGAUUUAUUUUGCUGGUUGACUUCAAGAAACUUACUUAAAAUCUCUAAGCCUCAGUUUACAAAUAUGUACCGGCAUAAUACUAAAGAUUAAAUUAACUAAAUGCCCAAACGAACUGUGGCAGAAGCUGUUGGUUGGCCAAUCUAAUACCGCUAUGAAUCCUCUUCUCUCUAACCACCUUUCACCUUUCAAUGGAUUGUACGUGGAUGUCUCCUGGGAGGGGCUUCCCUUCUCAACCAGAGCUACAGAGCUUUUGGUCCUACCUCUUUCUUCCUGUUUGGGUAGAAGAUAUGAUGCCUGGAGAAGGAGCUUGGUUCCGACACGAUAUUCUUGAGCAGUUAGAGCCAAUCUAGAGUGGUUUUCUCAAGACUUCUUACCAUGUGAAACCAAUAGCCCCUUAUCCAAUGAAGCCACUGUUUCUCAAGUUUCUGUUACUCAAAUUUGCAGCGUUCAUGUGUGAUACAGGAGCAAACAUGGUUGCUAGGCUGUAGUAAGGAAGUUCAAAUACUGUUAAUCAUCUUCUCCCCUUCACUGCUAGUGAUGAUCUUAUAAUGGAUGAGGCACAGUCUCAGCAUACACUUUUUAAAAGUAGAUAAUAGGUUAAAAAUCUCGGGCAUCAAUUUUCACUUUUUUGUGAAUGAUGUUACCAUUCAACCUGUUGAUAUUGCAGAAUCUCAGGAAAAGUCCUGAUACCUCCUUCUCCCUUGUAUAUCUUAUUGAAUCCAAGUCUCAGGGAUUUUAUGUCUAAACAUCUGUCACAUCAUCGACUUCUUUCUGUGUCCUCUGCAUCACCUUAGUCAUUAUGGUUCACCUGGGCUAUCACAUUCUCACAUUCUUACAAGUGAUCUUCUGCACAUGCUAUUCUCUCUGCCUAGAAUGUUCUCUCCCUCUAAUUCCUGGUUAUCUUUCGGCUCUCAGCUAAAUCAGCACAUACUCAGAAAACAUUUCCCCAGCCUCCUUGCCCUAAUCGUCUUCCCUUUACAUCUUACCACAUCUCUGUUUUUAGCACAUAUUAAACAUUGUACAUUUGUCUGUGAGUCUUAAAUUAACGUCUCUCCACCAGUCUAUAAGUACCAGGAGAGCUGAGUCUGUUUUUUGUUUUAUCUUCCAUCAUUUUACACCCAGGUCAAGCCCAGGACUGAGCACAUAGUAAGCGCUCAAUAGUCACUUAAUCAUAAUAACAAACAUUUAUUGAGCACUUACUGUGUACAAUGCAUUUUUAUUAGUGCUUUAUAUGCAUUAACUCAGUUUACCAGUCACAGCAAUCCUAUUUUAAAGAUAAGCUAACCCCAUUUUACAGACAAAGAACCUGAGGCACAGAGGAGUUAAGUAAUUUGCCUGAGGUCACACACAGGUAGCAAACCAGGAUGUGAGUCAGGCAGUUCCUCUUAGGAACCUGUGCUAUUAGCCACCAUCCAAAGCUGAAUCAAAGAAUGAAUCUUGCCACCAACCAGGCAAU